rnacentral:rRNA from 1 species
GUAGGUGGCAAGCGCUGUCCGGAAUUAUUGGGCGUAAAGCGCGCGCAGGCGGUUCUUUAAGUCUGAUGUGAAAGCCCACGGCUCAACCGUGGAGGGUCAUUGGAAACUGGAGAACUUGAGUACAGAAGAGGAAAGCGGAAUUCCACGUGUAGCGGUGAAAUGCGUAGAGAUGUGGAGGAACACCAGUGGCGAAGGCGGCUUUCUGGUCUGUAACUGACGCUGAGGCGCGAAAGCGUGGGGGAGCAAACAGGAUUAGAUACCCUGGUAGUCCACGCCGUAAACGAUGAGUGCUAAGUGUUAGGGGGUUUUCCGCCCCGUUAGUGCUGCAGCUAACGCAUUAAGCACUCCGCCUGGGAGUACGGCCGCAAGGCUG